AGACGAUGGUAUGUAAUUGAUUUAUAAACCAUAUAUAUAUGGGAUAGAAGAUUUUGUUUCGUGUCUGUUUUGCCUUACCAUUGAAUGCAUAUGUCUUUGUCGUCCUUUUGGUUUAAUUGAAAUGAAAUUUUGACAGUUACAUUCUGUUGCUUCAAUUUCUUCAAUUGGGGUUGCGAAAUUUUAACUUAGCAUUAGCGAUACAAUUUUUUUUCCUCUGUAAUACCUGAUCAUGUUAACUUGGCUAAAAUCCCAUGUUUGCAAAUAAAUAAAAUAAAGACUAGUGAUUAAAUAUGUGGUGUGUUUGAGCUAGAGAGAAUUUUUGGAGGGGCAACCUGUGCCUAUAUAAAUCAUUGACUUUGGCUUCUUAUCUAAUCAAAUGUUGACAUCCAAUACACCAGGCUUUUGCUGCUGUCAAGUGUCAAUGCGAAUAUUUUGCAAGCUACUGAUUGUUACUAUUGCCCUGUUUCAGCACUGCCCCCCUUUCAAGCUAGAAUUGAAAUGCCUGGAGCUUUUCUUUUCUUGAAUUCUGAAUUUAUUUCUUUUCACUUUCCAGAAUUAU
rnacentral:misc_RNA from 1 species